rnacentral:lncRNA from 1 species
GUUAGCAAUGUCAGAAAUACCUUCUGGUCUCAGAGCAAUCUGACUCAAUUCCUUAAAAAUGAUUUGAAGAUUAUAUAAAGAUUAAUUACAGCAUGAAAGAUUAAUAGUUCCAUUGGCUUGUCAUUUCAUUAUUUUGUAGGAUAGACAGCUGAGGUCACAUCCCAGUGUUUCUGAGCAGCAGGACCUCUCCAUGAAGGUGAUAUCUUAGUAGAUGUACUCUGAGCUAUGCAACAGAAAAUAUUCCUUUGUUAUUGUCAGCGUGAGUUUUGGAGAGGAAAGGCAGAGUCAGAUGUCAAUAACCAAUGUGUCUGGAGAUGAAGAGGGUAGAAAAGAAAAAAAAUAUUCCUUCAUGUUGAAGAAAGCAAUCACUGGAAAGGUGUCUGACAAAUGGAUGGGAGCAAUCCUUGUUAAUGAGCAUAAAUCUUUGCAGAAAGCAAAAAAAAACCAGACUAUUGUGCAUCACAUAAAGCCUAUACGUAUUAUGUUAAAGUGAAAAAAAAUAUGUGAGAAAAUAGGUGCCUUUUUCUAUAGUUGACUUCUAGAGUUAGAUUUCACAAAGUAUUUUGCCAACAUGUAUGUUACACUAUACCUACAGUUGUUCAUUACAACAUGUAAUAACAUGCUGUGAAAUCCUGUAGCCUUUUCUUGGGACA